rnacentral:ncRNA from 1 species
AACAAAGCGAUGAUCAGAACCAGUAACAGGGAAAUCCGUUUCAGAGAGCUGCAGCAAGGUGAAAUGCAGCACGGCAAAAUCUGUGAACUCCUCUGCUAGCUGCCAACCGAAAUUGGCUCUUACAGCUAAAAUUAGGCCUGGACGGAGACUUCCGUUAUUACAAAGAGUGGACGGUAGUAGUCUUGCCGUCAAAAAGAGUGGUACCACGAAUACGGCUUUCGUCUCUUUG